CGAGACAAGCUAGGCUGCACUGGUAUCUGCCUUCCUUUGUUCAAUUCUUGAGGGAGGCCAAUGCCUAGAAGAAUUGAUGUGCGGUACUACAUUUUUUUUGUUGUUUUGUUUUGUAUUUAUAGAUUUUUGUUUCUUUAGGAUGUUAAUAAACAGUAGCCUGAAAUUAUGGUAUAUAAUUUUUUUUCUCUGAAACAUUAUUCUUAGGCUAUUGUAAUCAAGAAAAGGCUUACAAAUGUUUUGAUUUAUGUGAAAAGAAAGCUCAAUAUCUCGCGUCAUGUAAGACAGCGGGACCCUUUGUUAAUUGUUUUGUAUGUACAUAAGCCUCAAAAGGAUCCAUUAUGGCGUGACUGUGAAGCUAUAUGCCUUCAUAGCUUGGGAAUACAAUUGUUCACUUGUAAAUCAUUCUUGGGAUUUAGUGCCUCCUAAUCCAAC
rnacentral:lncRNA from 1 species